GAGGAAUAAGCAUCGGCUAACUCCGUGCCAGCAGCCGCGGUAAUACGGGGGAUGCAAGCGUUAUCCGGAAUCAUUGGGCGUAAAGCGUCUGUAGGUGGCUUAAUAAGUCUGUUGUUAAAGGUUAGGGCUCAACCCUAAAAAAGCAAUGGAAACUGUUAAGCUUGAGUAUGGCAGGGGUAGAGGGAAUUUCUAGUGUAGCGGUGAAAUGCGUAGAUAUUAGAAAGAACACCGGUGGCGAAAGCGCUCUACUGGACCAUUACUGACACUCAGAGACGAAAGCUAGGGGAGCAAAAGGGAUUAGAUACCCCUGUAGUCCUAGCCGUAAACGAUGGAUACUAGAUGUUGGAUUUUAUAGACAGUAUCGUAGCUAACGCGUUAAGUAUCCCGCCUGGGGAGUACGCUCGCAAGGGUGAAACUCAAAGGAAUUGACGGGGGCCCGCACAAGCAGUGGAGCAUGUGGUUUAAUUCGAUGCAACGCGAAGAACCUUACCAGGGCUUGACAUACUACAAAUCUUUUAGAGAUAGAAGAGUGCUUUCGAGAAUGUAGAUACAGGUGGUGCAUGGCUGUCGUCAGCUCGUGUCGUGAGAUGUUGGGUUAAGUCCCGCAACGAGCGCAACCCUCGUUUUUAGUUGCCAAUUUAUUGGUUUUUUUAGAAAGACUGCCGGUGACAAACCGGAGGAAGGUGAGGAUGACGUCAAGUCAGCAUGCCCCUUAUGUCCUGGGCUACACACGUGCUACAAUGAUGGGGACAAAGAGUUGCCAAUCUGUGAAGAUGAGCUAAUCUCGUAAACCCCAUCCAAGUUCGGAUUGUAGGCUGCAACUCGCCUACGUGAAG
rnacentral:rRNA from 1 species